UACGUGAGGGUGCAAGCGUUGUCCGGAAUUAUUGGGCGUAAAGGAGCUCGUAGGCGGUUUGUCGCGUCGGCUGUGAAAUCCCGAGGCUCAACCCUCGGCCUGCAGUCGAUACGGGCAAACUAGAGUGUGGUAGGGGAGACGUGGAAUUCCGUGGUGUAGCGGUGAAAUGCGCAGAUAUCAGGAGGAACACCGGCGGCGAAGGCGGGUCUCUGGGCCAUAACUGACGCUGAGGAGCGAAAGCGUGGGGAGCGAACAGG
rnacentral:rRNA from 1 species